rnacentral:rRNA from 1 species
UACGUAGGGUGCAAGCGUUGUCCGGAAUUAUUGGGCGUAAAGAGCUCGUAGGCGGUUCGUCGCGUCGGCUGUGAAAUCCCGGAGCUCAACUCCGGGUCUGCAGUCGAUACGGGCGGACUCGAGUUCGGCAGGGGAGACUGGAAUUCCUGGUGUAGCGGUGAAAUGCGCAGAUAUCAGGAGGAACACCGGUGGCGAAGGCGGGUCUCUGGGCCUGUACUGACGCUGAGGAGCGAAAGCGUGGGGAGCGAACAGG